rnacentral:rRNA from 1 species
CCUACGGGUGGCAGCAGUGAGGAAUAUUGGUCAAUGGUCGCGAGCCUGAACCAGCCAAGUAGCGUGAAGGAUGACUGUCCUACGGAUUGUAAACUUCUUUUAUCAAGGAAUAAAGUGAGGCACGCGUGCCUUUUUGUAUGUACUUUAUGAAUAAGGAUCGGCUAACUCCGUGCCAGCAGCCGCGGUAAUACGGAGGAUCCGAGCGUUAUCCGGAUUUAUUGGGUUUAAAGGGUGCGGAGGUGGGUUGUUAAGUCAGUGGUGAAAGUUUGGGGCUCAACCGUAAAAUUGCAAUUGAUACUGGCAGCCUUGAGUACAGUUGAGGUAGGCGGAAUUCGUGGUGUAGCGGUGAAAUGCUUAGAUAUCGCGAAGAACUCCGAUUGCGAAGGCAGCCUACUAAACUGCCACUGACAUUGAUGCUCGAAAGUGUGGGUAUCAAACAGGAUUAGAUACCCUGGUAGUC